CCAAGUGUGGCAAAGUGGUUUGAGUGCUAGACUACAACUCUGGAGUCUGGGGUUCAAAUCCCAGCUCAUCCA